GACGAACGCUGGCGGCGUGCUUAACACAUGCAAGUCGAACGGAAAGGCCCUGCUUGCCGGGUACUCGAGUGGCGAACGGGUGAGUAACACGUGGGUGAUCUGCCCUGCACUUCGGGAUAAGCCUGGGAAACUGGGUCUAAUACCGGAUAGGAGCCAUUUUUAGUUUGAUGGUUGGAAAGUUUUUUCGGUGUAGGAUGAGCUCGCGGCCUAUCAGCUUGUUGGUGGGGUAAUGGCCUACCAAGGCGGCGACGGGUAGCCGGCCUGAGAGGGUGGACGGCCACAGUGGGACUGAGAUACGGCCCAGACUCCUACGGGAGGCAGCAGUGGGGAAUAUUGAACAAUGGGCGCAAGCCUGAUGCAGCGACGCCGCGUGGGGGAUGACGGCCUUCGGGUUGGAAUCUCCAUUCGCUAGGGACGAAGCUUUUUGUGACGGUACCUAGAGAAGAAGCACCGGCUAACUACGUG
rnacentral:rRNA from 1 species